UAAUACGAAGGGGGCUAGCGUUGUUCGGAAUUACUGGGCGUAAAGCGCACGUAGGCGGAUUGUUAAGUCAGAGGUGAAAUCCCGGAGCUCAACUUCGGAACUGCCUUUGAUACUGGCAAUCUAGAGUUCGGAAGAGGUUAGUGGAAUUCCCAGUGUAGAGGUGAAAUUCGUAGAUAUUGGGAAGAACACCAGUGGCGAAGGCGACUGACUGGACAAGUAUUGACGCUGAGGUACGAAAGCGUGGGGAGCAAACAGGAUUAGAUACCCUGGUAGUCCACGCCGUAAACGAUGAUAACUAGCUGUCCGGGCACUUGGUGCCUGGGUGGCGCAGCUAACGCAUUAAGUUAUCCGCCUGGGGAGUACGGUCGCAAGAUU
rnacentral:rRNA from 1 species